CUGCUGCCUCCCGUAGGAGUUUGGGCCGUGUCUCAGUCCCAAUGUGGCCGUCCACCCUCUCAGGCCGGCUACUGAUCGUCGCUUUGGUAGGCCGUUACCCUGCCAACUGGCUAAUCAGACGCGGGCCCAUCUUAUACCACCGGAGUUUUUCACCCUGGGCCAUGCGGCCCUGGGCGCUUAUGCGGUCUUAGCACCUAUUUCUAAGUGUUAUCCCCCUGUAUAAGGCAGGUUACCCACGCGUUACUCACCCGUCCGCCACUAAAGUAAAAAUUG
rnacentral:rRNA from 1 species